GCCAGUAUGGUAUAGUGGUAAAGCAUUGGACUAUGACUCUGGAGACCAGGGUUCAAAUCCCCACUCAGCCA